rnacentral:rRNA from 1 species
ACGCGAGGGUUAUACAUCGGAACGUGCCUGUUAGUGGGGGGAUAACCAAUCGAAGAUUGCUAUUGCCGCAUAAUGAUGAGGAGAAAAGCUGGGGACCUACAAGGGCCCAAGCGCUGAUAGAGCGGCCGAUGGUCGAUUAGCUAGUUGGGUGGGGUAAAAAGCUUACCAAGGCAAUGAUCGAUAGCUGUUCUGAGGAGGAAGAUCAGCCACACUGGGACUGAGACACGGCCCAGACUCAUACGGGAGGCAGCAGUGGGGAAUUUUGGACAAUGGGGGCAACCCUGAUCCAGCAACGCCGCGUGAAUGAAGAAGGCCCUAGGGUUGUAAAGUUCUUUUAUCUGGGAGCAAAGGCCAAGUGAUAAUACCACUUGGAGAUGAGAGUACCAGAAGAAUAAGCACCGGCUAACUACGUGCCAGCAGCCGCGGUAAUACGUAGGGUGCAAGCGUUAAUCGGAAUUACUGGGCGUAAAGCGUGCGCAGGCGGAUAUGUAAGUUAGAUGUGAAAUCCCCGAGCUUAACUUGGGAAUCGCAUUUAAGACUGCAUGUCUAGAGUUUGUCAGAGGGGGGUAGAAUUCCAAGUGUAGCAGUGAAAUGCGUAGAGAUUUGGAGGAAUACCGGUGGCGAAGGCGGCCCCCUGGGAUAAAACUGACGCUCAUGCACGAAAGCGUGGGUAGCAAACAGGAUUAGAUACCCUGGUAGUCCACGCCCUAAACGAUGUGUACUUGCUGUUGGGGGUUGAAAAACCUCAGUAGCGUAGCUAACGCGUGAAGUAGACCGC